AUGAGUUAAAAUUAUGUCACGAUAUAAUAAUAAUUCCUUAAUAAAAAUCAUAAUUGAUAUUGAACAACUUUAACAAUGUUAUUUAAGAAUUUUAUUUUAUUUUUUAAGAAUUUUAUAUUAGACAAAAAAUUUUUUUAGCUUGUUAUAUCCACUGUGAAUUUUAAUCUCAUUAGCCAAUCAUUUCGCACCAUUAUCUAGUUAUCUUUAUAAAGUAGUAAGCUGAUUGGACAUGCUUCAUUCCCUAUCAUCUCAUGUCAAGCGUGUCGCGUGUCCUCGAAAAAAAUGCUGUCGCGUUCCACGUUCCACGUGCGGAAAUUUGCUUCAACCUGCUUCAACCUGUAUCCUGCUGUAUCCAUCUGAUUCUUUGUGUGACCGAUGCAUUUUCGGAUAUUUUUGUAGACACUUUGGCACACUUUGGUAAUGUUCGGUAAGAGAGUCGUUCAGAAAUGUCCACGGAUAGGGACGCAAACAGUGGAAGGAAAAUAAUAAAGACCUUACGAGCUAAUCAAAUCGAGUUGGCUUGUCAAAUUACUUAGAAAUUUACAAAAUUGUACUACAAGUAUUUAGACAAACAGAGAGAAGCAAGUAUAGAAUGUGUAUAGAACAAUAGUACUACCAAACAUAUUCCCUCUUUUCCUUGAUUAUAUUGCAUUAACUGUAGGUGUGUAACUUCAGACAAUCUUGAAAAUGUACCUAAAUAACACAACCCUGGUGUGAAACAGAAAUUGCAUAGUUGGCAAAGACAAUAUACAAAAGUUUUGGCUAGAUUUGCCAUCUUCAGAACACGUCACUUAUACUCUUGAUGCUCAGCCAAUCAUAGAUUCAGAGGAAGACAACCAGUUAAUGUUUCUAAUCAAAAUCGUUGGCCAAGUAAAGUACAAGAAGAGCUUCAAAAUGUUCAAUCAAACCUUCCUGGUCACAGCCAUGGAUAGCAAAUGGAAAAUUGUAAACAACUGUUUUCGCUUUAUAGAACUCUAGAACUAUUACAGUAACAAGUUUAAAUUUGAUAAAACAAUAAUUAGACUGUUAUAAUUGUAACUGUUAUUAUGUGAUAUAUGAUAAUUUGUGAUAAUUUAUUGUUCUACUUUUGUAUUGAAGUAUACUAAAUGUAUAUAUGUAAAACCAA